rnacentral:rRNA from 1 species
UACGUAGGGUGCGAGCGUUGUCCGGAAUUAUUGGGCGUAAAGAGCUUGUAGGCGGUUUGUCGCGUCUGCCGUGAAAAUUCGAGGCUCAACCUCGAACUUGCGGUGGGUACGGGCAGACUAGAGUGUGGUAGGGGAGACUGGAAUUCCUGGUGUAGCGGUGAAAUGCGCAGAUAUCAGGAGGAACACCGAUGGCGAAGGCAGGUCUCUGGGCCACUACUGACGCUGAGAAGCGAAAGCAUUGGGUAGCGAACAGG